AACGAACGCUGGCGGCAUGCCUAACACAUGCAAGUCGAACGAAGCCUUCGGGCUUAGUGGCGCACGGGUGCGUAACGCGUGGGAAUCUGCCUCUUGCUUCGGAAUAACAGUGGGAAACUACUGCUAAUACCGGAUGAUGUCUUCGGACCAAAGAUUUAUCGGCAAGAGAUGAGCCCGCGUAGGAUUAGGUAGUUGGUGGGGUAAAGGCCUACCAAGCCGACGAUCCUUAGCUGGCUGAGAGGAUGAUCAGCCACACUGGGACUGAGACACGGCCCAGACUCCUACGGGAGGCAGCAGUGGGGAAGUAUUGGACAAUGGGGGCGAACCCUGAUCCAGCAAUGCCGCGUGAGUGAUGAAGGCCUUAGGGUUGUAAAGCUCUUUUACCAGGGAUGAUAAUGACAGUACCUGGAGAAUAAGCUCCGGCUAACUCCGUG
rnacentral:rRNA from 1 species